UUAGUUUGUUGGUGGGGUAAUGGCCUACCAAGACGGUGAUCAAUAGCUGAUCUGAGAGGAUGAUCAGCCACAUUGGGACUGAGACACGGCCCAAACUCCUACGGGAGGCAGCAGUAGGGAAUAUUGCACAAUGGAGGAAACUCUGAUGCAGCGAUGCCGCGUGAGUGAAGAAGGCCUUUGGGUUGUAAAGCUCUUUCGUCGGGGAAGAAAAUGACUGUACCCGAAUAAGAAGGUCCGGCUAACUUCGUGCCAGCAGCCGCGGUAAUACGAAGGGACCUAGCGUAGUUCGGAAUUACUGGGCUUAAAGAGUUCGUAGGUGGUUAAAAAAGUUGGUGGUGAAAUCCCAGAGCUUAACUCUGGAACUGCCAUCAAAACUUUUUAGCUAGAGUAUGAUAGAGGAAAGCAGAAUUUCUAGUGUAGAGGUGAAAUUCGUAGAUAUUAGAAAGAAUACCAAUUGCGAAGGCAGCUUUCUGGAUCAUUACUGACACUGAGGAACGAAAGCAUGGGUAGCGAAGAGGAUUAGAUACCCUCGUAGUCCAUGCCGUAAACGAUGUGUGUUAGACGUUGGAAAUUUAUUUUCAGUGUCGCAGCGAAAGCGAUAAACACACCGCCUGGGGAGUACGACCGCAAGGUUAAAACUCAAAUGAAUUGACGGGGACCCGCACAAGUAGUGGAGCAUGUGGUUUAAUUCGAAGAUACGCGCAGAACCUUACCAACACUUGACAUGUUCGUCGCGACUUUAAGAGAUUAAAGUUUUCGGUUCGGCCGGACGAAACACAGGUGCUGCAUGGCUGUCGUCAGCUCGUGUCGUGAGAUGUUGGGUUAAGUCCCGCAACGAGCGCAACCCACGUUUUUAGUUGCCAGCAUUUAGUUGGGCACUCUAGAAAGACCGCCGGUGAUAAACCGGAGG
rnacentral:rRNA from 1 species